AGCACGUUCCUUAGAUCCACCUGAUGGGGCUUUGCCCACCAAUUUACCGGUUGGGUUUCAUCGGUGAAUGAGUCAUUGACGUGUGCGAGACAAGAGCACCUCCUUCUGUUUGCCACACCUCCCUGAGCACACCAUGCUAGUUCCUUCUGCUGGAAGUCAUUUCUGACUGUUGUGAUUAUGUUAGGAGAUCGGCAGGUGUGUGGGGACAAU
rnacentral:snoRNA from 1 species